rnacentral:lncRNA from 1 species
AUAAGUAACUUUUGCAAUUAAUAUCUCUACUGGUCUUUCAGAAAAUGGCUCUGCUACUUCAGAAGAUGGAUAAGAACCAGAAGAGACAUCUAAGUUUCCAAGGGACACCUCCGUGGAAAACUUUCACAAGUUUUGAUGGACAACACUUAAGAAAUAGCAAUAUUAUUAUUCAAAGGAAUGACAGGAGGAAAUUGCGAGAUUCCCAGAAGGCCCAAGAGAAG